rnacentral:rRNA from 1 species
GAUGAACGCUGACAGAAUGCUUAACACAUGCAAGUCAACUUGAAUUUGGGUUUUUAACUUAGGUUUGGGUGGCGGACGGGUGAGUAACGCGUAAAGAACUUGCCUCACAGCUAGGGACAACAUUUGGAAACGAAUGCUAAUACCUAAUAUUAUGAUAAUAGGGCAUCCUAUAAUUAUGAAAGCUAUAAGCGCUGUGAGAGAGCUUUGCGUCCCAUUAGCUAGUUGGAGAGGUAACGGCCCACCAAGGCGAUGAUGGGUAGCCGGCCUGAGAGGGUGAUCGGCCACAAGGGGACUGAGACACGGCCCUUACUCCUACGGGAGGCAGCAGUGGGGAAUAUUGGACAAUGGACCGAGAGUCUGAUCCAGCAAUUCUGUGUGCACGAUGAAGUUUUUCGGAAUGUAAAGUGCUUUCAGUUGGGAAGAAACAAAUGACGGUACCAACAGAAGAAGUGACGGCUAAAUACGUG